rnacentral:rRNA from 1 species
CGCUGGAGUUCUAGCUUGCUAGAAUGAAGGAGAGGCGAACGGGUGAGUAAUACAUAAGCAACCUGCCCACGAAGACUGGGAUAAUUCCUGGAAACGGGGACUAAUACCGGAUAGGCAGCUUGAUCGCAUGAUCGAGCUGUUAAAGAUUCAAAGCACUGGUGGAUGGGCUUAUGGCGCAUUAGCUAGUUGGUGAGGUAACGGCUCACCAAGGCGAUGAUGCGUAGCCGGCCUGAGAGGGUGAACGGCCACAUUGGGACUGAGACACGGCCCAGACUCCUACGGGAGGCAGCAGUAGGGAAUUUUCGGCAAUGGGCGAAAGCCUGACCGAGCAACGCCGCGUGAGUGAAGACGGCCUUCGGGUUGUAAAGCUCUGUUGUAAGGGAAGAACACUGUUGAGAGAAUCGGCAGCUGACGGUACCUUACCAGAAAGCCACGGCUAACUACGUGCCAGCAGCCGCGGUAAUACGUAGGUGGCGAGCGUUAUCCGGAAUUAUUGGGCGUAAAGGGUGCGUAGGCGGCUUGUUAAGUUUAAGGUGAAAGCGUGGGGCUCAACCCCAUACAGCCUUAGAUACUGGCAAGCUAGAGUACUGGAGAGGGAAGUGGAAUUCCAUGUGUAGCGGUAAAAUGCGUAGAUAUAUGGAGGAACACCAG